rnacentral:rRNA from 1 species
GAUGAACGCUGGCGGCGUGCCUAACACAUGCAAGUCGAGCGGACGGACGAUAAGCUUGUGUCUUUGAGGUUAGCGGCGGACGGGUGAGUAACACGUGGAUAACCUACUUAUAUGUCGGGGAUAAUAACGGAAAACCGGAUAUAAUACUAGAUAAUAUUAUGAACCGCUGGGAUCAAAAGUGAAAGACGGCUUUGCUGUCUCAUAUAGACGGUUCCGCGCUGGAUUAGCUAGUUGGUAAGGUAACGGCUUACCAAGGCAACGAUGCGUAGCCGAGCUGAGAGGGUGAUCAGCCACACUGGAACUGAGACACGGUCCAGACUCCUACGGGAGGCAGCAGUGGGGAAUCUUCGGCAAUGGGCGAAAGCCUGACGCAGCCACGCCGCGUGGGUGAUGAAGGUCUUCGGGUCGUAAAGCUCUGUUGUUGGGGAAGAACAGCUGUGGGAGUAUCUGUGGCCGUCUUGACGGUACCUAAUGAGAAAGCAACGGCUAACUACGUG